GCCUGGGUGGCUCAGUUGGUUGAGCAUCUGACUUCGGCUCAGAUCGUGAUCUCACAGUUCAUGGGUUCAAGCCCCGCAUGGGCU
rnacentral:tRNA from 1 species